ACUUGGAAACAGGUGCUAAUACCGUAUAACAAUCGAAACCGCAUGGUUUUGAUUUGAAAGGCGCUUUCGGGUGUCGCUGAUGGAUGGACCCGCGGUGCAUUAGCUAGUUGGUGAGGUAACGGCUCACCAAGGCGACGAUGCAUAGCCGACCUGAGAGGGUGAUCGGCCACAUUGGGAMUGAGACACGGCCCAAACUCCUACGGGAGGCAGCAGUAGGGAAUCUUCGGCAAUGGACGAAAGUCUGACCGAGCAACGCCGCGUGAGUGAAGAAGGUUUUCGGAUCGUAAAACUCUGUUGUUAGAGAAGAACAAGGAUGAGAGUAACUGUUCAUCCCUUGACGGUAUCUAACCAGAAAGCCACGGCUAACUACGUGCCAGCAGCCGCGGUAAUACGUAGGUGGCAAGCGUUGUCCGGAUUUAUUGGGCGUAAAGCGAGCGCAGGCGGUUUCUUAAGUCUGAUGUGAAAGCCCCCGGCUCAACCGGGGAGGGUCAUUGGAAACUGGGAGACUUGAGUGCAGAAGAGGAGAGUGGAAUUCCAUGUGUAGCGGUGAAAUGCGUAGAUAUAUGGAGGAACACCAGUGGCGAAGGCGGCUCUCUGGUCUGUAACUGACGCUGAGGCUCGAAAGCGUGGGGAGCAAACAGGAUUAGAUACCCUGGUAGUCCACGCCGUAAACGAUGAGUGCUAAGUGUUGGAGGGUUUCCGCCCUUCAGUGCUGCAGCUAACGCAUUAAGCACUCCGCCUGGGGAGUACGACCGCAAGGUUGAAACUCAAAGGAAUUGACGGGGGCCCGCACAAGCGGUGGAGCAUGUGGUUUAAUUCGAAGCAACGCGAAGAACCUUACCAGGUCUUGACAUCCUUUGACCACUCUAGAGAUAGAGCUUCCCCUUCGGGGGCAAAGUGACAGGUGGUGCAUGGUUGUCGUCAGCUCGUGUCGUGAGAUGUUGGGUUAAGUCCCGCAACGAGCGCAACCCUUAUUGUUAGUUGCCAUCAUUUAGUUGGGCACUCUAGCAAGACUGCCGGUGACAAACCGGAGGAAGGUGGGGAUGACGUCAAAUCAUCAUGCCCCUUAUGACCUGGGCUACACACGUGCUACAAUGGGAAGUACAACGAGUCGCAAAGUCGCGAGGCUAAGCUAAUCUCUUAAAGCUUCUCUCAGUUCGGAUUGUAGGCUGCAACUCGCCUACAUGAAGCCGGAAUCGCUAGUAAUCGCGGAUCAGCACGCCGCGGUGAAUACGUUCCCGGGCCUUGUAC
rnacentral:rRNA from 1 species